rnacentral:rRNA from 1 species
UACGAAGGGGGCUAGCGUUGCUCGGAAUCACUGGGCGUAAAGCGCACGUAGGCGGUCUUUUAAGUCAGGGGUGAAAUCCUGGAGCUCAACUCCAGAACUGCCUUUGAUACUGAGAGACUUGAGUCCGGGAGAGGUGAGUGGAACUGCGAGUGUAGAGGUGAAAUUCGUAGAUAUUCGCAAGAACACCAGUGGCGAAGGCGGCUCACUGGCCCGGUACUGACGCUGAGGUGCGAAAGCGUGGGGAGCGAGCAGG